ensembl:lncRNA
CAACUAAUGAAGUCCAGACACCCCAAAGUCCACCCGUGCUCCCCAAUGAGAGCAGCCAUCGCAAUGUGAAGCCUGCACUCUGCAACUAGAGAGUAGCCUGCUGCAGCUAGCGAAAAACCUGAGGAGCAGCAAAGACCCAGCACAGCCCAAAAAAAUCUUAAGAAAUACUCCUUCAUUGGCUAAGAAAACUGGGACACCGAGGGAAAGCUGCAGGGCAUACCUGACCCUCACCAUUGACCGUUCUUCCUCUCAUCUACGCAGCAUCCGAUUAUCCUUGCAGCCAG